rnacentral:rRNA from 1 species
GCUCCGCGACUACUAAAGCCCUUCUGGAGUAGGCAGGCUUC